CUUAGGUGUGUUUGAUGGAAAAGAGAAAGUGAAAGUACUGACAGUGAGAAAGAGAGGAGUUUACGGGAGAGGGAGAAUUAAGUGAUUCUCAGUCUUUUGUUAUGAUUGAUAGAAUGCAAACGUGAUAUUUAACAUUUAGUAUACAAACACUGAUUUGUCAGUCGGUCAUAGAGUGAUCAGAAGAUUCCAAAGGUAAUUUUGAUCGUGCAAUGGAAACUAAUCGAAGGAUCACGCGCUCAGGUGGACUCAAUCACGUUCUAUAAACAUCUCAAGGAUGAUCAAUGGAAACAGGAUGCACCUGAGCUCACAUUCGAGUCAUAUAACAACAGAUUCAGCCAUUAAUCUACCAGAUUACCAGAAGAUCCCGUCCAUUUUCAACCGCAUAAUAAAAGGAAAUGAAGGUGGAGGGACCAUGCAAUCAGGGGUAUGCCUCAGGGUGCUGUUACUGGCUGCUUUCACUGUUACCAUCACAGCUCAAAAACCUGCCCCAGAGGUCUUCACCUUGACCGUCCCUAAUGGUCCCAUUUUGACCCGGUUGAACGCCUCUGUCACUCUACCUUGUGAACUCUCGCCUCUCUUCAAUGUUGAGCCAUUGGAGGUGCGCUGGUACCGGUCCGAGAACUCCAACAGCCCUGCCUUGUUGUACAAAGAUCACAAGAUCCAGGAGGCCCCUGUGGAUCCCCGGUACAGGGGCAGGGUUUCUCUAACUGGGGGGCUGGAGAGAGGGAAUGUGUCCCUGACACUGGAGAGGGUCACACUGGAAGACAGGGGGGAGUAUGUGUGCCAUGUCAGCAAUGAAAGGUGGUACGAAAAGGCCAACGUUUAUCUCUCAAUGAAUGUGACAGGCAGCGCCCCAGUUCUCUCCGUAGCCAGUGGAGGAGGAGGUCAGGUGAACGUUACCUGUUCAUCAGAGGGAUGGUCACCACAACCUAAACUCACCUGGAGAAACAAAGAGGGGACAGAGAUAAAAAAUGAACAAGUACUCUUCACCUCAGAUUCUCAGGGCUUGUUGAGUGUCAGUAGUUGGCUGCUGUAUUCUCCCUCAGAUUCUGAUUGGCUCUCCUGUACAAUCUCUCUGUCUGAGGAAGAGAAGAGAGAGAGUAGAGUCCUUCCUCACAAACCUGGAGCCUGGAAAGAAGCUUUCAUUGUGACUUUGGUCCUGUCUCUGCUACUUCUCUGUGCUCUGUCAACUGUGGUCUGCAUUCUGCUCAAACAUAGAGAUCAAAUUAAGCUUGAACAGAGUAAAUCAGAGACAAAAAAACUUUUUAAAGUGACAGAAAACAGUCAGGAGAAACAACCCGUCAAAGACGGAAUUAAUCUACAAGAUUGGCGCCAGGUGAAAGGAUUCCAAGGUAGCCCUGCGGUUAAGAGCGUUGAGCCAGUUACCGAAACAUCGCUGGUUCGAAUCCCCGAGCCGACAGGUGAAAAAUCUGAUAAUAUGCCCUUGAGAAAUGCACUUAAACAUAAUUGCUCCUGUAAAUCGCUCAGGAUAAGAGCGUCUGCUAAAUGACUAAAAUGUAAAAUGCAUAUGGGCUAUAGUAGUAAGUGCCAAGUGGGUCUUAAUAUUCAAAAUUAAAUAGCAAAAUGAUCUAUGGUAUGACCAUGUUAGAUCUCAGAAAAUAUCAAAUUGUGAACCCGAGACCCACAUUUAUCACAUAAAAUGUAUAUGCCAUAUCUCACAAUUGAUUUGACUUCCCUCUUUUAGUAUUUUCACUGUGAUAGAACGUUUAUUUUUUUAGUAGAUUUGUGUCAUUCCAUAAAGUUCGAUACAGCGCUGCAGUGAGUGGGGGGCUGCAUAACCCUGUGACACAGCGUUCGUUCUAGCUCUACCUUGCUCUCCCUGAGUGAGAGGCCAGCACUUUGACAGACAGUCCAACAACAAGUUCGAGGGGUUUACAAACUUAGACACAUUUUCGGAAUUUGACGUUAUUCCCAUUAAGACACUUUAUGUCGGUGGUUCCUUUAUUUUUAUAAUUACCUGUAUCUCCUAACUUGGCUCUUUUACUAUAGUGCUGCUUUGAUGACUUGUGAUUGGCCGGCAACAACAGCAAGCUUCACACACCACUUUCGUGAAAAGCAAGAGCAGCAGGAUAAAUUGUACAAUUUUCACUCUCUCCACAGCACCAGUCGCGUUCGGUUCACUAUGGGUCCUUAUGGGCAAAUUGGUUAUAAUUACAAAUACCCAAGACCCAUGACAAUUAGGUCCAAUCUGGCUUUUCGGGAACAGGUGGACCGGUGAAGUCCUCUAAUAUGUUGUUUUGAGUUACAUUAUCUACCAAAAGACAACAUCAUAAACGUGAGAAAUAAGACUCACUUCAGAUUUUAAAUACAGAUUUUGUCAAAUUUUAAGUGGUUUGAUAAAUCCUUUGUAUAGGACAUUGGAGUCUUGAAGUCUUCAUCACGACUCUGAUUAUUUUAUUGCUAGUCAUCUUUACUGUCAAUGGACUCUUCAUCUGGAACAAAAAACAGCAAGCUAACACGUUCAUUUAAAUAUGAACAGUCUAUUGAUGGUCUAAUAAUAGUACUAAUAUACUGAUAUAAUAGGCUGAGCUAGACUAUUCUUCUCCACAAACAUAUAUAUAUAUAUAUAUUUAUGUUGUGUUUAUAGGGAUUUUUGUCAGUGGUUAAAGUGUAUGCCUAUCAUUCACCAAAUUGUUGCUUUACAUUGUUUCAAGUACUACUGUAUUAAUUGAGCACGCCAUAUAAUUGACAAUGUGUUAUUUGGUUUUAUAUUUACAAUAUCUACUUCUCUUCCUCCUGCAGGGUUUAUCAGAUUCUCAACAUCAAAGAAAGAUGCAAAUGCAGAUGUAAUUAAGCGUUGUCUAAUAAUUUAGGGGCAAAUCUUAACUUACACUUAAGUCAACGUUUCACCAGGUCAUGCAUUGAUGUUAAUUUAAGACUGUGAAAUUUCAAUUUAAGUGAAAGUUAAGAUUUACCCCUUUAUAAUAUUAUGUUUGAUGAUAACAUUGAAAACAUCUCUGAUAUAAUGCAAUACAUUUUAACAAAGUAAUAUUCCAUGACCUACCUAUAUUAAAAUGAGUGUCAUUGCAUUUCAGAUAAAACAGUGUCUACUGAGAGGCCAGAAUGGGGAAUGCAAACUGCCAAAGAAACAACUACACAGAAGAAAUGUGUCCCCAAAGGUACAUUUAUAUUGACAUACCUUUUCAUUAUUUAAUAUUUUUUAUCUAGCUUUUUAGAUCUUAUUCACCCCCCAAGCACAGUCAUUCAGGGUUAAUAACAUUCAUUGAAGAACACCCAUAAGAACAAAAGGUGGUACAAUCCAAUAUCUAUUUUCUGUUGAUAAGAUUAGUGGUUAAAUAUUUCUCUGAUAUGAUUUGUUCAUUUGCUGCAUGGGGCGAAGUGAAGAGAUUCAAAGGUAGGACACAUUAACAUAGAACUAACAUAAUAUCAUUACAUGGCUGUACCUUCAAGUAACAUCCAUAUCAGCAAACCAUGUGAGUGAAUGAAUUCACCAAAUCUUGUUCUCUUUUUUUGUGGACAUCCCUCUGGACCCAACGUCUGCUCACCCUAACCUAGACGUGUAUGCAUGUAGAACGUUUUUUUUUAGGGACUCAAAAGUAGCUGAUGUUCCCACAGCUCGUAAUGUCUUUAGUGAGGACAGAUUCAGCUUCGGACAGUUAUACUGGGAGGUGACGGUGAGGGAAGAUUCAAUUUUUAGCAAAGAGAAACAGUCAUGGUAUGUUGGUGUAGCCACAGACAUAGCCACUCUGACAAGGGCUGUUGUCCCCUUAACCCCUGAGAAUGGUUUCUGGGUUUUUACAUAUGAAAAAGGAAAAGGUUAUUAUGUCCCUGAUGACCCUCAAAUACCAGAAUUGGGAAAUGAAUGCCCUUUAAUAUUUCUAAGCCUACCAGGAUCUGGAAAAUAAAUUCUUACAACACUUGAAGUGUUCUUAGAUUGUGACAGACAGAUGCUUUCCUUUUAUGAUGCUGAAUCAAAGCUACAUCUUUACAGUUUGUUUAACGUUGUGUCAUCUAACACAUUCUUCACUGUAUUCAGCCCUGGGUUACGUGGCAAAUGUUCCUUAACAGUUAAAUGACUCUGGAUGACAAAGGUGGAAAUACACUGUCACAACUUCCGCCGAAGUUGGUGCCUCUCCUUGUUCAGGCGGCGGUCGACGUCACCGGCUUUCUAGCCUCCACCGAUCUACAUUUCUUUUUCCAUUUGUUUUGUCUAUAUUGUACACACUGGGUUCCCAUUACGUUUGAAUUAUUUCCCUAUUUAACCCUCUGGAGCCAUCAUGGUUUUGUGCAUGUUUAUUGUUGUCAGUUGUCUCGUUUAUGUGAUUAUGGAUUUUCGUUCUCCUUGUUGGAAGAUUAUUUUGAGUAAAGUUACUAUUAUUACUCAUCUCUGUGUCCUGCGCCUGACUCCGCCUUACCCACAUCACCUAGACUCUGACAUACAUAUUAAAUCAUAUACCAUUGUAACACUCUGAGACACUAACAGGAAGUUAAACUGCGUAGAUACAUUACUCUUUAAAUGUAUAUUUAUUACCUUUAGCAAGAUUAUUGAUGUAAAUAUGUAAUAAAUGUUUUGAAUAUCAA